rnacentral:rRNA from 1 species
GGGGUUAAAAUUAAUAAAUAAAUAUAAUUAAUAAAAGAAAUUUUAAUAUUAAAAUAUUUAAUGGGGGUUAAAGUAUUUUUAAUAGAAAAAAUUUGAAAUUUUAUAGUUUAUAAGUAUUGUAAAAGAAGUUUGAAAUAAAUUUAAAAUAAAUUUUUUAAAAAGUAAAUUUAAUUUAUUGUAUCUUGUGUAUCAGAGUUUAUUAAAAUCUUUUUAUGUGUUAAAUUUCUCGAAUUUAAAAGAGUUAAUUAAUUAUAAAAUUUAUUGUUUCAUAAAUAUUUUAAAUAGUUAAUUAGAAAUGAAAUGUUAUUCGUUUUUAAAUAUAUCUAGUUUUUUAAGAAAAAAAUUUAAUUUUUAAUUAAAUUAAAAAUUUAUUAAAUAAAUUAAUUAAUUUUUAUAAUUUAAUUUAAUACUUUAGGGGAUAAGCUUUAAAUUAAAUUUUUAUAAUUAAUUAUUUUUAAAUUGAAAUUUUUAUAAUUUAUAUUGUUAAUAAAUUUUAAUUUAUUAUAAAUAAUUUCAUUAAAUUUAAAAAUUUAAUUAAUAAUUUAAUAUUUUAUUAAAAAAUAUUUAUUAAUAAAUUAUAUUUAGUUAUAAUGAUAAAAUUAGUAUAUAAAUAUUUUUAAUAAUUAGAAUUUAAAUUUUAUGAUUAAUUAUUUUAAAGGAAUUCGACAAAAAUUUAUAUUCACCUGUUUAUCAAAAACAUGUCUUUUUGUUUAAUAAUUUAAAGUCUAAUCUGCCCACUGAUAUUUAUUAAAGGGCUGCAGUAUAUUGACUGUACAAAGGUAGCAUAAUCAAUAGUCUCUUAAUUGGUGACUUGUAUGAAAGAUUGGAUGAAAUAUAUAUUGUCUCUAUAAUAUAUAAUUGAAUUUAAUUUUUUAUUUAAAAAGUUAAAAUAAUUUAAAAAGACGAGAAGACCCUAUAGAGUUUUAUAUUUAUUUUAUUUUAAAUUAUAAUUUAAUUAAAUUAAUUUAAAUUUAAGUUAAUUAUUUUAUUGGGGUGAUGAAAAAAUUAAUAAAACUUUUUUUUAAAUUAAUCAUUAAUUUAUGAAUUAUUGAUCCAUUAUUAUUGAUUAUAAGAAAAAAUUACCUUAGGGAUAACAGCGUAAUUUUUUUUUUUAGUACUUAUAAAAAAAAGAGUUUGCGACCUCGAUGUUGGAUUAAGAUAAAAUUUAAAUGCAAAAGUUUAAAAUUUUUGAUCUGUUCGAUCAUUAAAAUCUUACAUGAUCUGAGUUCAAACCGGUGUAAGCCAGGUUGGUUUCUAUCUUUUAAAAAUUUUAAUAUUUUAGUACGAAAGGAUUAAAUAUUACAAUUAAAUUGAAUAUUUUUGAAUUUUAUUAAUAGUUAAAAUUAUAUUUUUA